GGCAGUGUAGCAUAAUGGUUAGGGAGCUGGACUUGUAAUUCUGUGGUUGUAGGUUUGAUUCCCUGCUCUGCCA
rnacentral:tRNA from 1 species